rnacentral:rRNA from 1 species
ACGCUCGACACCUACGGGAGGUAGCAGUGGGGAAUAUUGCACAAUGGGGGAAACCCUGAUGCAGCGACGCCGCGUGAAGGAAGAAGUAUCUCGGUAUGUAAACUUCUAUCAGCAGGGAAGAAAAUGACGGUACCUGACUAAGAAGCCCCGGCUAACUACGUGUCAGCAGCCGCGGUAAUCUGAGCGGGCUGGCAAGGC